AACAGGAUUAGAUACCCUGGUAGUCCACGCCGUAAACGAUGUCGACUUGGAGGCUGUGCCCUUGAGGCGUGGCUUCCGGAGCUAACGCGUUAAGUCGACCGCCUGGGGAGUACGGCCGCAAGGUUAAAACUCAAAUGAAUUGACGGGGGCCCGCACAAGCGGUGGAGCAUGUGGUUUAAUUCGAUGCAACGCGAAGAACCUUACCUGGUCUUGACAUCCAGAGAACUUAGCAGAGAUGCUUUGGUGCCUUCGGGAACUCUGAGACAGGUGCUGCAUGGCUGUCGUCAGCUCGUGUCGUGAAAUGUUGGGUUAAGUCCCGCAACGAGCGCAGCCCUUAUCCUUUGUUGCCAGCGGUUCGGCCGGGAACUCAAAGGAGACUGCCAGUGAUAAACUGGAGGAAGGUGGGGAUGACGUCAAGUCAUCAUGGCCCUUACGAGUAGGGCUACACACGUGCUACAAUGGCAUAUACAAAGAGAAGCGACCUCGCGAGAGCAAGCGGACCUCAUAAAGUAUGUCGUAGUCCGGAUUGGAGUCUGCAACUCGACUCCAUGAAGUCGGAAUCGCUAGUAAUCGUGGAUCAGAAUGCCACGGUGAAUACGUUCCCGGGCCUUGUACACACCGCCCGUCACACCAUGGGAGUGGGUUGCAAAAGAAGUAGGUAGCUUAACCUUCGGGAGGGCGCUUACCACUUUGUGAUUCAUGACUGGGGUGAAGUCGUAACAAGGUAACC
rnacentral:rRNA from 1 species